rnacentral:rRNA from 1 species
UACGGAGGGUGCGAGCGUUGUCCGGAAUCACUGGGCGUAAAGGGCGCGUAGGCGGUCUGCUAAGCGUGCGGUGAAAGCCUGGGGCUCAACCCCAGGUCUGCCGUGCGAACUGGUGGACUCGAGCACUGUAGAGGCAGGUGGAAUUCCGGGUGUAGCGGUGGAAUGCGUAGAGAUCCGGAGGAACACCGGCGGCGAAGGCGGCACUCUGGGCCGGUACUGACGCUGAGGAGCGAAAGCGUGGGGAGCAAACAGG